AGUGAACGCUGGCGGUAGGCCUAACACAUGCAAGUCGAACGGCAGCACAGUAAGAGCUUGCUCUUACGGGUGGCGAGUGGCGGACGGGUGAGGAAUACAUCGGAAUCUACUUUUUCGUGGGGGAUAACGUAGGGAAACUUACGCUAAUACCGCAUACGACCUACGGGUGAAAGCAGGGGAUCUUCGGACCUUGCGCGAUUGAAUGAGCCGGUGUCGGAUUAGCUAGUUGGCGGGGUAAAGGCCCACCAAGGCGACGAUCCGUAGCUGGUCUGAGAGGAUGAUCAGCCACACUGGAACUGAGACACGGUCCAGAGUCCGACGGGAGGCAGCAGUGGGGAAUAUUGGACAAUGGGCGCAAGCCUGAUCCAGCCAUACCGCGUGGGUGAAGAAGGCCUUCGGGUUGUAAAGCCCUUUUGUUGGGAAAGAAAAGCAGCAGGUUAAUACCCCGCUGUUCUGACGGUACCCAAAGAAUAGGCACCGGCUAACUUCGUG
rnacentral:rRNA from 1 species